CGUGUAUCCAGGCUCCUGUUUGCCUCUGUCUACCUAAAACUUCCUUUGCUGGCUGUUUUGUUAGUAAGGCUUUGCAUUUUUAACAAGCUCCUAUGUGCUGGGGGUGCUGCUGGUCCCAGAACUACACUCUCGAGUAGUGAGAGCUUAUCGGGGAGAUUCUUUUUAUUUUUUUGAGACAGGGUCUCCCUCUGUGGCUGAGGCCAGAGUGGAGUGGAGCAAUCAGGCUCACUGCCUCGACUUCCCCAGCUCAAGUGAUCCUUUCUGCCUCAGCCUCCUGAGUAGCUAGGACUACAGGCGUGAGCCAUCCAUCAUGCCCAGCUAAUUUUUUAAUUUUUUGUAAAGACUAGGUCUUACUACGUUGCCCAGGCUGGUCUGGAACUCCUGGUCUCAAGCGAUCCGCCUGCCUUGGCCUCCCAAAGUGCUGUAAUUACAGAUGAGAUUCUUUUUUUUUUUUUUUGAGACGCAGUCUCGCACUGUCGCCCAGGCUGGAGUGCAGUGCCACGAUCUCGGCUCACUGCAAGCUCUGCCUCCCGGGUUCACACCAUUCUCCUGCCUCAGCCUCCUGAGUAGCUGGGACUACAGGCGCCCGCCACCACGCCCGGCCAAUUUUUUUGUAUUUUUAGUAGAGAUGGGGUUUCACCAUGUUAUCCGGAAUAGUCUCGAUCUCCUGACCCCGUGAUCUGCCUGCCUCGGCCUCCCAAAGUGCUGGGAUUACAGGCGUGAGCCACCGCACCCCGCCGAGAUUCAUUCUUAAGUGCACCAAAUUUUGAGAAAUAUUGAUCCAGGUGCAAGGCUGCCAGCCAUGCAGGGAUCUGCCUUCCUGUGGAAUGAUCUCCAAUGAUCUUCAAGUAUCUCCUGCAGACCCAGUUCUCUUGCUAAAUAAGUCACUGGAAGAUAAUUCCUGGACACACCUUGGACAGCUCCCCACAUUUCUCUAUUUGGAGCUUUGGGGUGGUAGGAAAUUGAUGCCCUCAGAAAGGACACCCCCAACCAGCAAGAAACCAGAGUUGGUGGAAAACAUCAUUUCUUCACUCUCGAUGGGACAACCUGAAGGCAUGUUCUAGUCAAUACUCCUUCUCACAGGUCCCCAACAAGAGUUAGAGACAGAGUCUCGCUCUGUUGUUCAGGCUGGAGUGCAGUGGCGCCAUCAUGGCUCACUGCAGCCUUGAACUCCUGGGCUCAAGCAAUUCUCCCACCCGAGUAGCUGGAGUAUAGGUUCUCACCAACACGCACAGCUCUUUAUCUUUGACUUUCUGUUUCAUUUCUCUAUUCCCUCAUUAUGCUUCCUGGGAUCAUUUCACAGAUAAGCUACUUGCUCCCAAAUCCUUGUCUCAGGGGCAGUCAACAGAGACAGUGGCAGAGGACCAUGGGAGAGCUAGAAUUUCAGGUCUCCAGACUCCUAGUCCAGUGCUCUUUCCAGGGUUUCUCAACCUUGGCACUAUUAACAUUUUGGACUGGAUAAUGCAUUGCUAGGGAGGGUUGACCUAUGCACCGUAGGAUGUUUAGUAGCAUCCCUGACCUUUGUCCACUAAAUGCCACUAGCAUCCUCCAGUUGGGAACAGUCAAAACUGUUUUCUGCUUUAUCAGAAGUUCCCCGGGGCAAAACACUGUGGUUGCAAACCACUAUUCCACAUCAGGCCAUCUCCCUUGCCAGGUCCAGAGAAAGAAUUUCAAGCCCCAAGAUUCCUUUCCCCUCCCUGUUGCUCUUUAGAUCACAUAAAUGAAACCACUGGAAACUGACCCCCCAAUCCUUUAUUAGAGAUGAGUGAAAUAACAAGUCUGAGA
rnacentral:lncRNA from 10 species